CAGGUAACAUCCUAUACAGUAUCUUUAAUAGUCCUGUCUUUAUUUAGACUCCGAUUAGCGUAAUUUGAGUUUCAAAUCUUCAUUUUGAUGUGGAUAUAGACCGCCUAUAAUUAAAUUGGCUAUAUUACAUUAUUUUUUUAAUCGCGACAGAUUUAAUCAUGUACGGAUCCCGCAGAACUUCAUUCAUCGUCAUUCUUUUAAGUGGCUCCCUUUUCGCCUUAUUUUAUACUGGCGUGGAUUUUUGGAGUAAAACUUCACUACCGAUAAUGAGACUCUCAAAUUGCAACCGUGUUCCAGAGAUCCCAGACUUUCCCAAACCAAAUAUCGGGCCUUUUCGCAAUGAGAAUCCAACACCCUGUACCUGCCAAAACACUAAUCCAGCAAACGAUUUUGUGUCAGAAGACGAGAUGGAUGACCUGCAGAAACGCCGGGCAGAAGAGUUCAGACAACACCAGAUCAGGUUACCCACAAUUCCUCAGAUCUCUUUAGUGUGGCACACACUUAUUCCUCUGACUGAAUGAACUGUCUUUCAGAUCAGGUAAAGAAAAUGAUGUUCUACUACUCGUCCCGGCCAACACCCCGCUCCAGUAUCCGAUGAG